UUGGAGGGCAAGUCUGGUGCCAGCAGCCGCGGUAACUCCAGCUCCAAUAGCGUAUAUUAAAGUUGCUGCAGUUAAAAAGCUCGUAGUUGAAUUUCGGGACCAUCAUGUCGGUCGUGCCUCGGUACGUACUGGCAUUGUUGGUUUCUCCCUUCUGACGAACCAUGAUGUCAUUUAUUUGGUGUUGUGGGAAAUCAGGACUGUUACUUUGAAAAAAUUAGAGUGUUUAAAGCAGGCUCACGCUUGAAUACAUUAGCAUGGAAUAAUGAAAUAGGACGUUUGAUUCUAUUUUGUUGGUUUCUAGGAUCGACGUAAUGAUUAAUAGGGAUAGUUGGGGGCAUUAGUAUUCAAUUGUCAGAGGUGAAAUUCUUGGAUUUAUUGAAGACUAACUACUGCGAAAGCAUUUGCCAAGGAUGUUUUCAUUAAUCAAGAACGAAAGUUAGGGGAUCGAAGACGAUCAGAUACCGUCGUAGUCUUAACCAUAAACUAUGCCGACUAGGGAUCGGAUGAUGUUAAUUUUUUAAUGACUCAUUCGGCGCCUUACGGGAAAC
rnacentral:rRNA from 1 species